GGAAAUUUUACUAUUACGUUCAUCCGCAAUUUAACAGUGUUUAUGCCGGAAGGACAGUUCGUGCAGUCGAUGCCGCCGGACCUAACACGAAGGAGCGUUUGCCGAGUAUGUCUCGAAAGGGAUGUCACGAUUUCGUGAGACGGAUGCAAUCUCUGCACCACAUGGGAGCCUGUGGCAAAGUGCAGUCUGAGCAGCCCGACAAGGAAUCUGAUCUGCUUGCUUUGACAAGGUAUGGCUGGGCCUGCAGAGAAGGUGUAAGCAGACUGUGCUGUGUUGCUGAUCAGUGCUGAUCUCCACGCCUGAGUUGGUCCCACAACAUCCAGGCACCAGCGU